rnacentral:rRNA from 1 species
CAAAGAUUCCCUCAGUAAGGGCGACCGAACCGGGAAGAGCUCGAAAUUGGAAUCAGUGAUUCAACGAUCUGAAUUGUAAUCGAACUUGCCUAAAUACGGAAAUUUGCUUAAUUAUCUCGAAAGAUAAACCAGAGAGGGUGCUAGUCCCGUAAAGCAUGUUUCCGAUUAAGGUAAUUAACAAAGAGUCGAGUAGCUUGGAAUUGCUGCUCUAAGCGGGAGAUAUGAUUCUUCCAAAGCUAAAUAUGGAUGGGAAACCGAUAGCGAACAAGUACUGUGAAGGAAAGAUGAAAAGGACUUUGAAAAGAGAGUGAAAAGAUCUGAAAUCGUUGAGGAGGAAGCGGUUAAACUGACCAGCGUGCUGAAAGUGCAAUGCGAUUACCUCGUAGAGUACUUAACAGAGCGCUCGGCAAAAUCAAGUUGGACUCGUCAAAAAAGGCUUUAGCCGGACAGGGUGAGACCAGCUUGAGGGACUACGGUGAUUUUGCCAAAAUGGUUUUAACUGUCCCGUCUUGAAACACGGACCAAGGAGUCUAAUACAUAUGCGAGUGUGCAGGUGAGAAACCUAUACGCGAAAUGAAAGUGAAAGGUGCGCCAAGUGGCAGCAUCGACCGACCCGGCAUGAAGGGUUUGAGUAUGAGCAUAUUUGUUAGGACCCGAAAGAUGGUGAUCUUAGCCUGAGCAGAGCGAAGUCUUGGGAAACCAGGAUGGAGGCUUUAAACGGUGCUAACGUGCAAAUUGCUGCGUAGAAUUGGGUUAAGGGUCGAAAGAACCAUCGAACCAUCUAGUAGCUGGUUCCCUCCGAAGUUUCCCUCAGGAUAGCUGGAACAAUAUACAGUUUUACGGGGUCGAGCGAAUGAUUAGAGGUCUCAGGACGCUUUAGUCUUGUCCUAUUCUCAAACUUCAAAUCCGUAAGAACUCUUGUUAUCUUAACUGAACAUUGAGACAGAAUGUAUGUUCUAAGUGGGCCAUUUUUGGUAAGCAGAACUGGCGAUGAGGGAUGAACCUAACAUUGUGUUAAGGUGCCAAAUUUUACGCUCAUGAGAUACCACAAAAGGUGUUGAUUCAUCUAAACAGCAGGACGGUGGACAUAAAAGUCGUCAUCCGCUAAGGAGUGUGUCAUGACUCACCUGCCGAAUGAAUUAGCCCUGAAAAUGGAUGGCGCUAAAGCGUAAAACCGAUACACAAUCAUUAGUGAAAAAGUAAUCACUAAUGAGUAGGAGGGCGUAGUUGUUGUGAGAAGCUUAUGACGUGAGUCUGAGUGGAACGACAUCUAGUGCAGAUCUUGGUGGAGUAGCAAAUAGCCAAUUGAAAACGUUGGCGGCCGAAGUGGAGAAGGGUUUCCUGAGAACAGUAUUUGAUCAGGAGUUACGCGGUCCUAAGUUCCUGGUUAAACCUAUAUAAGGUGCUCUAUAGCACGGAACGAAAGGAAUCAGGUUGAAAUUCCUGACGUUAGGUGAGAUUCUGGCAACACAAACUAGCUCAAAAACGCCAGCGAGUGUUUCUGGAAGAGUUUUCUUUUCUUCUUAACAACCAAAUGACCCUGGAAUUUGAUUACCAAGAGAUAGGGUUAUAAGGUUGGCAGAGCUGUACGUUUUUAGUACAGUCAGAUGCACUCUCGAUGGCCCUUGAAAAUUUGAGUCAGAACAAUUUCAUCUAAUCCGUACCCAUAACCGCAUCAGUUUCC